ACGGGCUCUUCGGAGCUAGUGGCGGACGGGUGAGUAACGCGUGAGAAUCUGGCUUCAGGUUCGGGACAACAGUUGGAAACGGCUGCUAAUACCGGAUGUGCCCUUGGGUGAAAGAUUUAUCACCUGAAGAUGAGCUCGCGUCUGAUUAGCUAGUAGGUGUGGUAAGAGCGCACCUAGGCGACGAUCAGUAGCUGGUCUGAGAGGAUGAUCAGCCACACUGGGACUGAGACACGGCCCAGACUCCUACGGGAGGCAGCAGUGGGGAAUUUUCCGCAAUGGGCGAAAGCCUGACGGAGCAAUACCGCGUGAGGGAGGAAGGCUCUUGGGUUGUAAACCUCUUUUCUCAGGGAAGAAUAAAUGACGGUACCUGAGGAAUAAGCAUCGGCUAACUCCGUGCCAGCAGCCGCGGUAAUACGGAGGAUGCAAGCGUUAUCCGGAAUGAUUGGGCGUAAAGCGUCCGCAGGUGGCAAUGUAAGUCUGCUGUCAAAGCGUCUGGCUCAACCAGAUAAAGGCAGUGGAAACUACAUAGCUAGAGUAAGGUAGGGGUAGAGGGAAUUCCUGGUGUAGCGGUGAAAUGCGUAGAGAUCAGGAAGAACACCGGUGGCGAAAGCGCUCUGCUGGACCUAAACUGACACUGAGGGACGAAAGCUAGGGGAGCGAAUGGGAUUAGAUACCCCAGUAGUCCUAGCCGUA
rnacentral:rRNA from 1 species